rnacentral:rRNA from 1 species
UACGGAGGGGGCUAGCGUUGUUCGGAAUUACUGGGCGUAAAGCGCGCGUAGGCGGACCUGCAAGUCGGGGGUGAAAGCCCGAGGCUCAACCUCGGAACUGCCUUCGAUACUGCGGGUCUCGAGUCCGGGAGAGGUGAGUGGAAUUCCUAGUGUAGAGGUGAAAUUCGUAGAUAUCGGGAGGAACACCGGUGGCGAAGGCGGUUCUCUGGGCCUUACCUGACGCUGAGGAGCGAAAGCGUGGGGAGCGAACAGG